CCUCACUCAGUGGUCAGGGCCUCUGUCCCUGGCUCUGCUCCUCCUGGGUAACCUGGAACAGGGCCGUUUCCAUCUGUGAAUGGGACCAGGGACGCCAUCUGUGUCUUCCCAGGAUGCUGAGGAAGGCAGACCAGUGCAGCAUUCAGCACCUAGUGGGGUGUUGGGCUAUGUCUGAGGCCUAGAUGCCCCCUGCACACAAAAGCCUCGGCACCUGGAACAGCCAGGAAGCUGGCUUAGAGACGGCUGAGAUAAAUGCACAUCUGUAUGUCUGAGGCCUAGAUGCCCCCUGCCCCGAAACACACAAGCCUCGGCACCUGGAACAGCCAGGAAGCUGGCUUAGAGACGGCUGAGAUAAAUGCACAUCUGUCCUCAGGCCUGCCACUCUCUGCCCUUGGUUAUCUGCAGGAGGAAAUCCACUGAGGCCACAGCCCAGGCCCUGCAGCAAUCAGGCCAAUCAUCUAUGCUGUCCUAGUGGUGGCUACCAUGGCUGUGGCUCCCACAGUGUCCCAGGCCUGUGCUGGGCAGUACCCACGGAAGAGAAGCCCAGCACAGAGAGGACCCGAAAUUCUCCCAACAUUCACAGGAAGGGAAGAGCCCUUGCCCCCACCAACCACACUAGGGCUCAGCGGAGAUAACAUCUGACCCAGGCCGUCUGCUCCGUGCACCCAGCAAGAGUGCUAGCAUGUGACACACGGCAGCGAGCUCCUGCGUGGGCGAGGGGAUGAUGGAUGGAUGGACUGGC
rnacentral:lncRNA from 1 species